UACAGAGGGGGCAAGCGUUGUUCGGAAUUACUGGGCGUAAAGGGCGCGUAGGCGGCCUUCUAAGUCGAACGUGAAAUCCCCGGGCUCAACCCGGGAACUGCGUCCGAUACUGGAAGGCUUGAAUCCGGGAGAGGGAUGUGGAAUUCCAGGUGUAGCGGUGAAAUGCGUAGAUAUCUGGAGGAACACCGGUGGCGAAGGCGGCAUCCUGGACCGAAACUGACACUGAGGCGCGAAAGCCAGGGGAGCAAACGGG
rnacentral:rRNA from 1 species